GACGUAGGGGGCGAGCGUUGUCCGGAAUUACUGGGCGUAAAGGGCGUGUAGGCGGCCUGGCAAGUCAGUGGUGAAAAACCUGGGCUCAACCGAGGUAUUGCCAUUGAAACUGUCUGGCUUGAGGAUAGAAGAGGAGUGUGGAAUUCCCGGUGUAGCGGUGAAAUGCGUAGAGAUCGGGAGGAACACCAGUGGCGAAGGCGGCACUCUGGUCUAUACCUGACGCUGAGGCGCGAAAGCCAGGGGAGCAAACAGGAUUAGAUACCCGCGUAGUCC
rnacentral:rRNA from 1 species